AAAGCGUGCGCAGGCGGUUAUGUAAGACAGAUGUGAAAUCCCCGGGCUCAACCUGGGAACUGCAUUUGUGACUGCAUGGCUAGAGUACGGUAGAGGGGGAUGGAAUUCCGCGUGUAGCAGUGAAAUGCGUAGAUAUGCGGAGGAACACCGAUGGCGAAGGCAAUCCCCUGGACCUGUACUGACGCUCAUGCACGAAAGCGUGGGGAGCAAACAGGAUUAGAUACCCCAGU
rnacentral:rRNA from 1 species